UGGGGAAUAUUGGACAAUGGGCGCAAGCCUGAUCCAGCCAUGCCGCGUGUGUGAAGAAGGCCUUUUGGUUGUAAAGCACUUUAAGCGAGGAGGAGGCUACCGAGAUUAAUACUCUUGGAUAGUGGACGUUACUCGCAGAAUAAGCACCGGCUAACUCUGUGCCAGCAGCCGCGGUAAUACAGAGGGUGCGAGCGUUAAUCGGAUUUACUGGGCGUAAAGCGUGCGUAGGCGGCUUUUUAAGUCGGAUGUGAAAUCCCUGAGCUUAACUUAGGAAUUGCAUUCGAUACUGGGAAGCUAGAGUAUGGGAGAGGAUGGUAGAAUUCCUGGUGUAGCGGUGAAAUGCGUAGAGAUCUGGAGGAAUACCGAUGGCGAAGGCAGCCAUCUGGCCUAAUACUGACGCUGUGGUACGAAAGCAUGGGGAGCAAACAGG
rnacentral:rRNA from 1 species